AUUGAACGCUGGCGGCAGGCCUAACACAUGCAAGUCGAGCGAGCGGCGGACGGGUGAGUAAUGUCUGGGAAACUGCCUGAUGGAGGGGGAUAACUACUGGAAACGGUAGCUAAUACCGCGUACAAUAGAAGUGGCCCAGAUGGGAUUAGCUAGUGGGUGGGGUAACGGCUCACCUAGGCGACGAUCCCUAGCUGGUCUGAGAGGAUGACCAGCCACACUGGAACUGAGACACGGUCCAGACUCCUACGGGAGGCAGCAGUGGGGAAUAUUGCACAAUGGGCGCAAGCCUGAUGCAGCCAUGCCGCGUGUGUGAAGAAGGCCUUCGGGUUGUAAAGCACUUUCAGCGGGGAGGCGUUACCCGCAGAAGAAGCACCGGCUAACUCCGUGCCAGCAGCCGCGGUAAUAC
rnacentral:rRNA from 1 species